GACGUAGGGCGCGAGCGUUGUCCGGAUUUACUGGGCGUAAAGGGCUCGUAGGCGGCCAACUAAGUCGGACGUGAAAUCCCCAGGCUCAACCUGGGAACUGCGUCCGAUACUGGAUGGCUUGAAUCCGGGAGAGGGAUGCAGAAUUCCAGGUGUAGCGGUGAAAUGCGUAGAUAUCUGGAGGAAUACCGGUGGCGAAGGCGGCAUCCUGGACCGGCAUUGACGCUGAGGAGCGAAAGCCAGGGGAGCAAACGGG
rnacentral:rRNA from 1 species